CAGUAGCCGCGGUAAUACGAGGGGUGCAAGCGUUAUUCGGAUUGAUUGGGUGUAAAGGGUGUGCAGACGGCUUAUUAAGUCACUUGUUAAAUUCUUCGGCCUAACUGAAGGUCUGCAAGUGAUACUGAAGAGCUAGAGGGUGGAAGAGAGAAGUGGAAUUCUCGGAGUAGCGGUAAAAUGCGUAGAUCUCGAGAGGAACACCAAUGGCGAAGGCAGCUUCUUGGUCCAUUCCUGACGUUCAUACACGAAAGCGUGGGGAGCAAACAGGAUUAGAUACCCCGGUAGUCCCUGUCUCUUAUAC
rnacentral:rRNA from 1 species